rnacentral:rRNA from 1 species
AUUGAACGCUGGCGGCAUGCCUUACACAUGCAAGUCGAACGGCAGCACGGGGCAACCUGGUGGCGAGUGGCGAACGGGUGAGUAAUGCAUCGGAACGUGCCAUUGAGUGGGGGAUAACGUAGCGAAAGUUGCGCUAAUACCGCAUAUUCUGUGAGCAGGAAAGCAGGGGACCGCAAGGCCUUGCGCUCUUUGAGCGGCCGAUGUCAGAUUAGCUAGUUGGUGAGGUAACGGCUUACCAAGGCGACGAUCUGUAGCGGGUCUGAGAGGAUGAUCCGCCACACUGGAACUGAGACACGGUCCAGACUCCUACGGGAGGCAGCAGUGGGAAUUUUGGACAAUGGGCGCAAGCCUGAUCCAGCCAUGCCGCGUGAGUGAAGAAGGCCUC